rnacentral:misc_RNA from 1 species
UCCAAACCCUAGCCUCUCGCCGGAACCCUAAUUCUCCCUAUCAUGGCCGCCUACGACUACGAAGACGCCGGCUACGACCCCCGCAGGCCCUCCGCCGCCGGCGCCGCUGAGCCGGCCUACGACCCCAACUUCGUCCCCGACUCCGUCAGAACCUUCGUUGCCCACCUCUAUCGCCACAUCCGUGAGAAGAAUGUCUACGAGAUCCACCAGAUGUACGAGGGCAGCUUCCAGCGCCUUAGCGAGCGGAUGUUCCGUGAUUCCCCUUGGCCGUCGGUGGAGGCCGUCGCCCCAUUCGUCGACAAUGACCACGUCUUCUGCCUCCUCUACCGCGAGAUGUGGUUCCGCCACGUCUACGCCCGCCUCUCCCCGACGCCGCGCCAGCGUGUUGAGUCGUGGG